UUAAGUUCAGCGGGUAUCCUGCCUGAUUUGAGGUCAGAUUUGCUCAAAGAGAGUGUGUAUUUCGAAGUGCGUCUUCUAAUGCGUGAAGAUCGUAGCUCAACGAGGGAGAAAUUACAACGUCGAGUUCAAGCCGAUCGACACGAGCGGUCGUCACUUGUCUGCAUCUCGGCCGAGCUGUCGCCUUCGCAGGCAACGGCAUA
rnacentral:misc_RNA from 1 species